rnacentral:rRNA from 1 species
UACAGAGGUCUCAAGCGUUGUUCGGAUUCAUUGGGCGUAAAGGGUGCGUAGGUGGCGUGGUAAGUCGGGUGUGAAAUUUCGGAGCUUAACUCCGAAACUGCAUUCGAUACUGCUGUGCUUGAGGACUGGAGAGGAGACUGGAAUUUACGGUGUAGCAGUGAAAUGCGUAGAGAUCGAUAAGGAAGACCAGUGGCGAAGGCGGGUCUCUGGACAGUUCCUGACGCUGAGGCACGAAGGUCAGGGGAGCAAACGGG